rfam:Octopus bimaculoides Scaffold192864_contig_2, whole genome shotgun sequence.
GACGAGGUGGCCGAGUGGUUAAGGCGAUGGACUGCUAAUCUAUUGGGAUGUUCCCGCGUGAGUUCGAAUCUCAUCCUCGUCG